UACAGAGGUCCCAAGCGUUGUUCGGAUUCACUGGGCGUAAAGGGUGCGUAGGUGGUGGGGUAAGUCGGAUGUGAAAGCUCGGAGCUCAACUCCGAAAUGGCAUUGGAAACUACCCUGCUUGAGGGUCGGAGGGGGACUGGAAUUCUCGGUGUAGCAGUGAAAUGCGUAGAUAUCGAGAGGAACACCAGUGGCGAAGGCGAGUCCCUGGACGACUCCUGACACUGAGGCACGAAAGCCAGGGGAGCAAACGGG
rnacentral:rRNA from 1 species